UCCAUAUAUUCAAACAUUCAUUCCAUAUAUAUUUAAUUUCCUAAACGGCAUGCCAUAAUGCCGAAACAUGUUCUUGUUUCUCAUAGACGGUUUGACAAAUACUGAAGAAUAAAAAAAAAUACUCAAUACUAAAAUAUUUUUUCCUUUCUUUGUGAAGCCCACAGACAUGGAGGACAGCAUGACGAGGGGAAUGAAUGUCGGCAUUGUCCUAGUAAAAGAAGGAGAGGAUCUUCUUGACAUAUCGGUAGUCCUGGAGGAACAGAUCAUUCUGCAUGGCAUCAAGGACUACUCGCAUGCGGGUCCAGUGCUGUGACUCCUGUGUUUGUGCAGAAGGGAAAUGAUGUUCUUCUAAAUGUCAUGAAAACUGAUGUUCUUCAGGACGUUUAUUCUGUUGUGUGGAACGUAAUGAUAAUGACAAUAAAGUUUAAUCCAAUCUGAAUCUAAUAUUGUGAGUUUUUCAGCAAGAAAUUGAUCAGAGCUCGUCAGAGUCAUCGGAGGGACCAUUGAUACACUGAAUGCACAACAACAAUGAAUAACAAUUAUGAACUGAACUUUUAUUGAAAUGUUUUUCAACUCUUCAAGGAUAAAGCAUUUGAUUUUAAAUGGGAUUUUCAGUUGAAUAUUUUAAGUCUGUUUUUAGAAACAAUAAACUAUUCAAGUACGUAUAAUAAUAUCCCUAACAGGAAAUUAUUUAAAUGAAUUCUGUUUAGAGAGGCCAAUUGUCUUUGGUUACCACUAUACAAGCUGCAAGCUAAUCUACAUAACACAAUCAUUAAGUAUUAUAAACAAUAACAUACAAUUUACAAAGAAUAUAAAAAAAAUACAAACAUAUACAUAAUUGUUCUGAAGCUUUUAAACGAUCUGCAGUGAUCUCCAGGUCCCCAAGCUGAGGUUUCCUUCCAUAAUUGAUACUCAAACAGCUCUUCAUGAGGUUUGAAUUUAUAUAGGACCUAAUGUGAUUUAUUUAAAGAGGAACUUCUGAAUGUGUAUGAUGCUUAGUAACAUUUCCUUAUUCUGUUUCAAGUUGAGCAGGUCACAUAAGUGGCAAUUUCAACUCUCUGUAUGUAAACUAUGAUACAUACUGCACAAGGUGUAACAGUGGGUGCAUCCAGUAUCACCAGCAUACAAACUGGAAACUGCUGCACCUGCAGUAUGUGGACACUUCUUGAUGAACUGUUUCAGGACCUGGCAGUAUUUUCUAUCUGAGCAUACAGGCUCUCUGGUAAAGUGUUGCCUCUAGUCUCAGUGCGUCCAGUGUGAGUUCCCACCAAGGAGUACAGUGUAAAAGGAUCUGAAGCAUCAUUAGUUGGAUUUGGAGGCUGGGCCACAGUUUCCAUCUGCAAAAUACAUAACAUACAACAAUUUUAAAGGUUAAGGGAAAGGUUGUUGUUGUUACUAUUUUUACUUUACACUGUAUUUCUAAUGGUGUUGUUAUACUGCAUAAACAUGUGAAGUAAUCUCACUAUUAACAGAUAUCCAUCAAAAACUACAAAAUGUAUAAUUGGCAACAAAAGUGAGAAGAAUGAUUUUCAUAACAUUAUAAUCAAUUUGUGAUUUUAUCUAAAAUGCAUGAAACAGCUGUAAAACACAUUUUUAGGCAUUCUUCAUCAAGAGCAGUAAGGCACUGAACAUUGUUUCACUGUGUCCAAAAAGAUGUGAGAGUAACAACACAUUGCAACUAGAAGUUAAGCAAAUAAAGAAAGCAUUCACACAGCUUUGACAACACAUGCAGUACGUUGUAAUAAUGUGAGCCAACAAACAGAAGCAAACAGAGAAGAAAAUACAGGACUUAAUGUAAAAGACAUUGUUGCAGUAUUGUUUUUUUU
rnacentral:lncRNA from 15 species